rnacentral:rRNA from 1 species
UACGUAGGGGGCGAGCGUUGUCCGGAUUUAUUGGGCGUAAAGAGCGUGUAGGCGGCCAGGUAGGUCUGCUGUGAAAACUCGAGGCUCAACCUCGAGACGUCGGCGGAAACCAUCUGGCUAGAGUCCGGAAGAGGAGAGUGGAAUUCCUGGUGUAGCGGUGAAAUGCGCAGAUAUCAGGAGGAACACCAGCGGCGAAGGCGGCGCUCUGGGCUGGAACUGACGCUGAGGAGCGAAAGCGUGGGGAGCGAACAGG